rnacentral:tRNA from 1 species
CUACCGUUAGCUCAUUUGGAAGAGCAAAGGACUGUAGUUAUUACCAAAUCAGUAUUCCUUAGGCCACCGGUUCUACCCCGCUACGGCAGA